rnacentral:lncRNA from 1 species
UCUUUAAUCCACGCGGGAUCCGUUUUUGUUCGGGUCAUUUGAUACCCGUGUUUUCGGAUAUAUAUAAAAUCCACAGAGACAACUUUCUUUCCUAUUCUCCCUGUAAACCCUAACCAAAAACUUCAUCGCCGCUUUCAUUUUUGUGGCAAUCAGAGGUAACAUAGUUGGAUUCAAGCGAUGUUGGUUUGAUAUGCCGACCAUGAUUCAUCGCCGCUGAUGCUUUCUGAUUAUCCUACUGGUAAAGUUCACCGAUGAUGGUGGUUCUGCUUUCUCAUUCAUCCAAUCCUAUUGAUUGCUGCUUCACGGUUUUAGGUAAGAGAUUUAUGGCGAUUUGAUGAACAUUUCUGCUUCUUGGUGUUCUGGUAAGAGAUUCAUUACGCUUCAUCAUUUUCUUUCAUUCGGAAUGUUCUGCAAAGGUAAGCAUUAGGGUCGUUUUUUUAUUUCUUCAAUUAGGGCUUCAUUUUCUUAUGAUUAAAUUCUUCUGUUCGUUUAUGUUACAUAUAUAUGUGUCUUAAUUGCCAGGCUACGAGCAAAUGUAAGGGUUUUGAAGAACAUGAAAUUAGGGUUUAGUACUGAUUAGUACCGAUUUGGAUAUGGAAUUAAUUUUAAAUUAAUCCAGUAAUUCAAUCCCUUGAAUCAAAUAUAGAUAUUUAUCAUAUUCUGAUAUUCAUCUUAUCGUUAAUGAGAUGAAUGCUUGGAUUUCAAAAUUCGGUUUCAUUUAGUUAGCGUAACAAGAUAAUUUGCUUAAUGAAAAGUGAGAAGGAAAAGAAGUGAUAGGGUAACUGAAGGAUCUAUUACUAUUGUCCAUUCCAUUUCCGUCUAUUUCCGUGUCUUUUUCAUUCUUAUUACAUAUUUAUAUGUCACUGAACGAUGGGAUAAUGUAUCUAGAGACCAUGCGUUUUUUCAAACAAAUUUGUUAAGGCGACCCAUAUUAAGAAAAAACAACUUUAUUGGCCACAAAAGUUUGUAUAUGUUUUUGUAUAUACCAAUUCCGCAAAACUAAUACUGGAAUAAUAUAAAAUGACAAAAACACCCCUAUUUUUUUACAAACUAAGUUAGUAUCGUAUAAUGAUCGAAAUCUGAAAAGCCACCCUUCUAUCAUUUCUAAGAAGAGAAAUAUGCAUUGUAAUGAAGGAUGUUUUAAGAGUUUUUUUAAAGUUAGAACUGUUUUAGCCAUUUUAUGAUUUUCCGGCACAAAUGUGACCUCAAUUUCUAUAAAGAAAAAAAGUACAUAUUUUCCUGUCAUGUAAGAUUGUUAUUACAAACAGGUCGCCUUAAUGAAAGUCAAUACUUGGAUAGCCUUCACACAUAUUAACUGUGUAUUAACUGUAUAACAUGCUUCAGCUGAUCGUCUUCUUCAUUGCAUUUUAUCUGAUUAACUACUAUUAUGUAUGUGGAAUCGUGGACUGCAAAAAUGGUAUUAGUUUUUUAGAUUUUAAGCUAAAGUAGCAGCCGAAGGUUUAUAAUCCAGUUUCCUUUGCAUUCAUAUAUACUAUCUUCUAUAAAAUUUGAAGAUUAAUGGGCUUUUGUUAAAUUAGCAGCUUUAUUUAAUGGGCUUUUGUGGAAUUAUGGAAUUAUCAUCGAUGAAAAUCAUUGUCCAUCAUUCUACAGCGGUUUUUUAUUUUUUAUUUUGAGUUAUAUAAUCUGCACAUCCUUUCAUGAACUAUCAUGCUUUUGUUUUAUGCAUGAAUUAUCAUACCGUUGUUUUAUGCUUUUCAAGACUCAUAUAAUCCGAUUUGGGUUCCUUAAUCGACAGAUUUGAAGCUCUUUGGGUUUUGGUCAAAGUUGUCAUAUAUACAAUCAAUGAGAUUCAUAUUCAUCGAUCGAUUAAAGAGGAAGAGUACAUCAUCAAAUUGAAGUCAACUUUGAAUUGUGUGUCACACCCCAAAAUAUCAGAGCUGGCGUGACUGGACCGGUAUCUUCAUUGCACAGCGGAAGCUAAUAAUGCUAAGACUUCUAGAAAGUGAACGCCACUAAGUACUCGAAUUCCCAUGGGUUCUCCUAUUCCAACCGUUCCAUAGCUUUGAAAACGCAACCUGAGAAAGAACAUGCGAAAAAAGUCAACAUAAAGUUGAGCGAGUUCAUAGUUUGUUUUGAAAAGAUUUAAAAGAAAUCUUUUUGAUAACCGGUUUCAAAGUUGUUGAGAAAAUAUAGUAAAAUUAUUUUCUUGGCAUGAUAUAUGAAAAAUUGUGAGUCUAGCCCACAAUAGUCUUUGUGCAUUGCACGAGAGAGAAUGGGCCGAGCCCAAACUAACCUUUAUAAGUAGGAUCAGCGCGUCCUCUUACUUAGGUAUAAUUUGAAAAACGUUACCAAAGUUUGUAAAUCCAUGUAUUUGUGAGUUUACAUCAAAUGAAUCUUAAAA